GACGUAGGGGGCCAGCGUUGUUCGGAAUUACUGGGUGUAAAGGGUUCGUAGGCGGUGUAGCAAGUCGGGAGUGAAAUCUCUGGGCUUAACCCAGAGGCUGCUUCCGAAACUGCUGUGCUUGAGUGUGGGAGAGGCGCGUGGAAUUGCAGGUGUAGCGGUGAAAUGCGUAGAUAUCUGCAGGAACACCCGUGGCGAAAGCGGCGCGCUGGACCACUACUGACGCUGAGACACGAAAGCGUGGGGAGCAAACAGG
rnacentral:rRNA from 1 species